GGCCCAGAUCGUUUACCGUGAAAAAAUUAGAGUGUUCAAAGCAGGCAGAUCCAAUUUUGUGCCCCGAAUACAUUAGCAUGGGAUAAUGGAAUAGGACCCUGUCCUCCUAUUUUCAGUUGGGUUUGGCAGCGCGAGGACUAGGGUAAUGAUUAAUAGGGAUAGUUGGGGGCAUUAAUAUUUAAUUGUCAGAGGUGAAAUUCUUGGAUUUAUGAAAGAUUAACUUCUGCGAAAGCAUCUGCCAAGGAUGUUUUCAUUAAUCAAGAACGAAAGUUAGGGGAUCGAAGACGAUCAGAUACCGUCGUAGUCUUAACCAUAAACGAUGCCGACCAGCGAUUAGGAGACGUUGAAUACAAAACACCACCAUCGGUGCGGUCGUCCUUGGCGUCUGGUCCUUCACGGGGCCGGGGCGCGGGGGUGGCUUAGCCCGGUGGCACCGGUGAAUGACUCCCCUAGCAGCUUGUGAGA
rnacentral:rRNA from 1 species